GUACGGCCGCAAGGUUAAAACUCAAAUGAAUUGACGGGGGCCCGCACAAGCGGUGGAGCAUGUGGUUUAAUUCGAUGCAACGCGAAGAACCUUACCUGGUCUUGACAUCCACAGAACUUUCCAGAGAUGGAUUGGUGCCUUCGGGAACUGUGAGACAGGUGCUGCAUGGCUGUCGUCAGCUCGUGUUGUGAAAUGUUGGGUUAAGUCCCGCAACGAGCGCAACCCUUAUCCUUUGUUGCCAGCGGUCCGGCCGGGAACUCAAAGGAGACUGCCAGUGAUAAACUGGAGGAAGGUGGGGAUGACGUCAAGUCAUCAUGGCCCUUACGACCAGGGCUACACACGUGCUACAAUGGCGCAUACAAAGAGAAGCGACCUCGCGAGAGCAAGCGGACCUCAUAAAGUGCGUCGUAGUCCGGAUUGGAGUCUGCAACUCGACUCCAUGAAGUCGGAAUCGCUAGUAAUCGUAGAUCAGAAUGCUACGGUGAAUACGUUCCCGGGCCUUGUACACACCGCCCGUCACACCAUGGGAGUGGGUUGCAAAAGAAGUAGGUAGCUUAACCUUCGGGAGGGCGCUUACCACUUUGUGAUUCAUGACUGGGG
rnacentral:rRNA from 1 species